UUUCCCUCUUCGACUCACUUUGGCAAAUUUUCCUAGUUUUUCUAUCUCUGUCUCUCAAUCUUUCCUCUAUCGUCACCAUCUUUCUAAAGUAGUUUAUCACCAUCGCCGGUCGGUUCGUGCGUCGUUGGAUUGUAGCUGGGUGGCUGGUUUUGGCGCGUGGAGAAACGAAGCAGUGUAGGCGAGGAAUAGUGAAGAAUUUAAAGAAAGAAUUUGGAAGAAAACCUUGGAGAAAAAAUCUCAGUGGUGCUGACCUUGAAGAAUGUGGCCAAGAUGAUGUGCAUGUUAAGGAUUUCUUGCCUGCAAUGAAAGCUGUUUGUGAUAGACUUGAGCAAGCCGAAGGCAAGGUCUGCUCUAUUUGAAUUUGUGAAUCUGAAUAAUUUUUGUGAAGGCAUCUUUGAAUUAUUGGUCACCUAGUAUUAUUGAUUGCAAUGGUCACCUUAUUUUUCAGUGGCACUUUUUUUCCUUGAAGGUUCUCGUGAUCUCACAUAUAAAAUAGGAGCUUGGCUAUCGAGAAACGAAAGGACAUAUAGCUUGGAGGUUUACUUAAGGUUUGAAAUCAGAGGAUUUGAUUAAGGUUUAUGAAUCUUUAAAUGAUACUAGGAGAUUGGCUAGUUAUCACUCUACUCUUUUGCUCCCGUUGUUGGAACCGGUUGUUGUGGUGUUGGUGAAGGCUAUGAAGAAUCCAAGAAGUGCUUUGUGCAAGACAUCUAUUAUGGCUGCUACUAAUAUCUUUGUUACUUGUCAUGAUAAGUUGUUGGAACCUGAUUUCUCUGGUGGUUUUGAGUUUUGACAAUUUGGUAAAACCUCGUUUAUUAGUUCUUGCUCCUACUAUGUGCAUUUUUUCACAAGAAUGGCUGAAUUUUGUAGAGUUCAACCUUUUGUCAUAUGUUUUAUCCAUGUUAUUCGUUGCCCGAUGAUCUAAUUUUCCAAUUUUAGAUUAAAUUGAGUGGUGUUUGGCCGACAAAUAAUUGUUGGUUGGGGAAAAAGAUCGAGAACUUUAUGAAAGACUUUGGGGCCUGUAAUUAUUUCUCCUUAUAUCUAUGUUGGUGGUUCGUUGUCUUUAUAUCUUGUUCAUGAUGUUAUUGGUCUUUCCUCUAGUAAUGGUUUAUCAUCUAUUGUUUGUUUAAGUUUAAACUUGUUUUCAUAUGAACUUACCUGUAUUGAAUCAUUGCUUCUUUCGUUUCCCUUGUCUAUUUAUUUGGCUAGUUAUGUUUGUUUAGUUAUGCAAAUAUUUUGUGUUUGAUUUCAUGAAUUAUUAGCUAUUUGAUAUUUAGCUUAGUGAUGGACACUGAUCAGAUUUCAAGGAAAGAGACACAAUUCGUUUUUUAAAUCACUUUGUUCUCGUUGGAACAGUUUGAAGGUCUGACUUCUCUGGGCUCAUUCUCCUUUGUUGCAAACUCUUUUCAGGUGAUUCUUUUUUUGAAUUUGGGUGAUUUUUUGUCUACUCUUUGGCUGUUAAAUUUCAGGUUUUUUUGAGUUUGUUUGCUAAACUGGGUUGUCUUCUGAAAACUGGUCAAUUGUGGUUCGAUUUGGUAUAUGCUUCUGUUUUAGUUCAUUUUUCUUAGAGUUGUGCUGCGAUUUUUGCUGGUAUAUUCAUGUGUGGUUUAGGGUGUUUUAAGAGUGCUUUGCUCAUAUAAAUUGCAUCCUUGCUACUGCUAUACUCUGGUUUCUUGCUUUGUUUUGUGCACAUAUUUUGUGCGUAUCGUAAAACAUGGGUGAAGAAGAUAUAAACAAACUGGAGGAAAGGUUGACUGAUCAAGCGGAAGCUAGCUUUGAUGCCAUUGCUAAGUUGUUACAAGUUCGUAAAAAGAAGAAAGAAUGGAAAGAUAAUGAUGAUGAGUUUUCAAGUAUUCUUUGCUAUUCUGAAGUGACAGACAAGUCCGGUUUUAAGUAUAUAUUCAAGUUAGCAUUUUUGAGAAAUAGAUAUCUUGUUUUUUUGUUCUUGGAAGAUGGAAUGAUUGAUUUUAAUGUAGAUACAUGUACUGAUAUUAUUACACUUUGGAAUUGUAAUUGAUUUUUUUUUUUUUUUUUGUUUUGGAAAAUUGUAAUUUUUUUUUUUAGAUCGAAGUGUAAUAUUGCAGUUUAUUGAUAUUUAUUAAAGAAUAUUUCUAAUUUUAUAAUUUUGUAAGUCUUUAAGUAUCAAUUUAAGGAAGAAAUUGCAGAAUAUACUAUAUAGGUUGACAGGCUUCAUUUCAUUUUAAAUAAAAAAUAUAGAAAAGGCUACGGUUCUGCUGAAAAAAUCGUAGCGUUUUCGUAUUUUUUGCUAUGGU